AUGUCAAGAAUUUUAUAUUUCACAUCUAAAUCCAAUAUUUGGGAAUUAAAAUUCAUUGGUUCAGAGGAGUCUGUUAAGACACACAGAAUCUUUCUCACUUUAGGAGGGCUGUCCUAAGAAUAGGGCGAGCUCUCACAGAGGACAAU